rnacentral:rRNA from 1 species
UACGAAGGGGGCUAGCGUUGUUCGGAAUUACUGGGCGUAAAGCGCGCGCAGGCGGUCUUCCAAGUCAGUGGUGAAAGCCCGGAGCUCAACUCCGGAAUUGCCAUUGAAACUGUUAGACUUGAGGAUGAGAGAGGUGAGUGGAAUUCCCAGUGUAGAGGUGAAAUUCGUAGAUAUUGGGAAGAACACCGGUGGCGAAGGCGGCUCACUGGCUCAGUACUGACGCUCAGGCGCGAUAGCGUGGGGAGCAAACAGG